GAACGCGAAGAACCUUACCUGGCCUUGACAUAGUAGAGACUUUCCAGAGAUGGAUUGGUGCCUUCGGGAAUCUACAUACAGGUGCUGCAUGGCUGUCGUCAGCUCGUGUCGUGAGAUGUUGGGUUAAGUCCCGCAACGAGCGCAACCCUUUUCCUUACUUGCCAGCAUUUCGGAUGGGAACUUUAAGGAUACUGCCAGUGACAAACUGAAGGAAGGCGGGGACGACGUCAAGUCAUCAUGGCCCUUACGGCCAGGGCUACACACGUGCUACAAUGGUCGGUACAAAGGGUUGCUACACAGCGAUGUGAUGCUAAUCUCAAAAAGCCGAUCGUAGUCCGGAUCGCAGUCUGCAACUCGACUGCGUGAAGUCGGAAUCGCUAGUAAUCGCGGAUCAGAAUGCCGCGGUGAAUACGUUCCCGGGUCUUGUACACACC
rnacentral:rRNA from 1 species